rnacentral:rRNA from 1 species
CACGUAGGGGGCAAGCGUUUUUUUUUUUUUUGUCCGGAUUUAUUGGGCGUAAAGAGCUCGUAGGCGGUUUCGGUAAGUCGGGGUGUGAAACCUCCAGGCUCAACCUGGAGACGCCACCCCGAUACUGCUGUGACUAGAGUCCGGUAGGGGAGCGUGGAAUUUCCUGGUGUAGCGGUGAAAUGCGCAGAUAUCGGGGAGGAACACCAGUGGCGAAGGCGGCGAUCUGGGAAGAUACUGACGCUGAGGUGCGAAAGCGUGGGGGAGCAAACAGG